UACUGUACAAUAUCACCCUGCAGCCCAAGACUGGUUGCCCACUGAAGCUAAGCAGGGUUGAGCCUAGUCAGUACCUGGAUGGGAGACCUCCUGGGAAAACUAGGUUGCUGUUGGAA
rnacentral:rRNA from 1 species